rnacentral:rRNA from 1 species
GACGAACGCUGGCGGCGUGCUUAACACAUGCAAGUCGAACGGAAAGGCCCUGCUUUUGUUGGGUGCUCGAUUGGCGAACGGGUGAGUAACACGUGAGUAACCUGCCCUUAACUUUGGGAUAACUUCAGGAAACUGGGGCUAAUACCGGAUAUGAGCUCCUGCUGCAUGGUGGGGGUUGGAAAGUUUCGGCGGUUGGGGAUGGACUCGCGGCUUAUCAGCUUGUUGGUGGGGUAGUGGCUUACCAAGCCUUUGACGGGUAGCCGGCCUGGGAGGGUGACCGGCCACAUUGGGACUGAGAUACGGCGCAGACUCCUACGGGAGGCAGCAGUGGGGAAUAUUGCACAACGGGCGGAAGCCUGAUGCAGCAACGCCGCGUGCGGGAUGACGGCCUUCGGGUUGUAAACCGCUUUCGCCUGUGACGAAGCGUGAGUGACGGUAAUGGGUAAAGAAGCACCGGCUAACUACGUG